UACAGAGGGUGCAAGCGUUAAUCGGAAUGACUGGGCGUAAAGCGUGUGUAGGUGGUUAGAUAAGUUAGAUGUGAAAUCCCCGGGCUCAACCUGGGAACUGCGACCGAGACUGCAUUGCUAGAGUAUGGGAGAGGAAAGCGGAAUUUCUGGUGUAGCAGUGAAAUGCGUAGAUAUCAGAAGGAACAUCAGUGGCGAAGGCGGCUUUCUGGACCAAUACUGACGCUCAGGUGCGAAAGCGUGGGGAGCAAACAGG
rnacentral:rRNA from 1 species